ACUCCUGCGGGAGGCAGCAGUGGGGAAUUUUGGACAAUGGGCGAAAGCCUGAUCCAGCAAUGCCGCGUGAGUGAAGAAGGCCUUCGGGUUGUAAAGCUCUUUUGUCAGGGAAGAAACGGUGAGAGCUAAUAUCUUUUGCUAAUGACGGUACCUGAAGAAUAAGCACCGGCUAACUACGUGCCAGCAGCCGCGGUAAUACGUAGGGUGCAAGCGUUAAUCGGAAUUACUGGGCGUAAAGCGUGCGCAGGCGGUUUUGUAAGUCUGAUGUGAAAUCCCCGGGCUCAACCUGGGAAUUGCAUUGGAGACUGCAAGGCUAGAAUCUGGCAGAGGGGGGUAGAAUUCCACGUGUAGCAGUGAAAUGCGUAGAUAUGUGGAGGAACACCGAUGGCGAAGGCAGCCCCCUGGGUCAAGAUUGACGCUCAUGCACGAAAGCGUGGGGAGCAAACAGGAUUAGAUACCCCUGUAGUCC
rnacentral:rRNA from 1 species